GCAAAAGGCUCAGAGUAUGGACAGUGAAGACCGAACCUGUUGCUAGGCAACGCCCUUUUGUUUACAGCUCGCGCUUGCCGCGGUUAAAUUUUGUGCAAAGUUAAUCAGUUUAACGGUCAUUUUCUAGCGAGUUAAGUUUCCUUUGUGUGCGUCAAUAAACGGCAGUAAGUACAUCUUUCUCUAUCGUCAAGGAUAUUUAGUUUAGAUUAUUAGUUAAUCCAUUGUCUGAUAGUAAUUUGUAUAGCAGAAUGUUUAAGUUUUAGUAGCAGUAUUCCUUAAUAUUUACCACAUAUUGGCGAUUUAUGCUAGGUACAUUAGAGUGUCAUUCCUCGCGACAAUGCAUCUACAUAUGGUAGAAUAUUCCGUUGUAUUUAGUAAGCUACGUGAUUAGCACCGUUUAUUUCCUUUUAAUGUACAGCCGAUAAUAAGUGUAGAAGUAGGCUAACUGUACUUCUUUUUCCUUAUUUAGAACCACACAUACACACAUGCACACCCACCUGGUUUAAACCUAAGAGGAGAACAGAGAUUGCCUGUGCCUGUGUAUUUGCAUUCCAUUUAUAAUAAACCCCCAAAAGAAUUUCCUGCCUCCGUGUCCUGACCAGACACCCCAUAUUGUUGACAAACUCCUAACCACCAAGAGCUUCCUUACAAUUUAUGGUCCUUCGAGCCGGAUAGAGUCACCAAUAUGGCAGCCAGUAGUGAGGGAACCAGUCUCCCUGCUUCACCAUCUAUGCGUCCUGUGCGCGCAGUUCAGCGACCAAGAUAUUUGGAAGAUUAUUUAGUGCAGUAUACAGACCAACGGAAUGUAGAGCAGAUACACAGGCACGAAGAGGAGGGAGAACAGCCUAGUCCUGCUAGGAGCACAUCCUCCAUGCCACCGGCGUGGAGUGCGCAUGAAGCCAUCGUGCAGCAAGCUAUGGAGACAGCGCGGCAACAGAGUGAGACGGCCAAGAGGCAGACAAAGCUUUUGGAGUUUGUCCUGCAGCGCCAUUCCCCUCGGUCCUCAGCUCAGUCAUCAAGGAGGUCGUCACGGCAUCAGACACCAGCUCGCCCACAUCACCCAGAAAGAGUAGGUGAGCAGCAUCCCCCUGCCAGUGCCCCUCACCAUUCCCGAGCUGAUGAUCAAUCAAGCGUAGCUGCAGAACUGGCUCAUCAGCUAGAAGAUUUAACUAUCCACCACCAACAGUGGCCAUUGCCUCCACCUCUCAGCCGAGACAUUCAUCCCCCUCAACACGUGCUUGAUCCACGCCAUAGCCUUCAGGCUAUCAAGCAAGAGAACGAACAUGACCCAGCUUCCCAUCCUCAGACACAGUAUCUGCCUCCACCCAGGCAUCCGCCCGCGCAUCAUCUUGAGCAUCAGUCAGCACAUCAACCUCCUUAUGUGCCCUACCCCUCCUACCCAGGGAACCCGGUCAUGCCAACACCUUAUCCCCCCAUGAUGUACGUGCAAGCAGCCCCCAAUAUAGAAGGCCCCACGUUUCCAGACUUCACAAAAGAAGAUAGAGCCCAGUAUGUGGAGCUUCGCCUUUCCCUCAGCACCCUCCUGCACCCCACGCAAUCUGAGCAUUACAAGUAUGCCAUCCUGCUGAAGCAUGUGAAAGUACCUCAAGCCCAUCGCCUUGUGCUAGCUCAUGCAGAGUCUAGUACGCCCUACUCUGAAGCUCUGAAGGCACUAGAUGAGCGUUACGGACGCCCAUAUCAGUUCGCAUUGAAGGAGAUAGAGGACAUGGAACGCUUACCCCCCAUCCGAGACGAUAGGGCUUUUGACGAGUUCGCCACCAGAGUGCAGUCACUAGUCGGGAUGCUGAAGUCGCUUAAAGGAGAAGGUCGUGAGGAACUCCACUGCGGCUCAAACGUGAAGCGCCUCCUCAGUAGACUCCCCAAGCACCAGCAAGAGAGGUUCCGUCGACAACAGUACAGGAAGAAUCCUGAUCAGUUGAAGCUGUCACUCAUUGACUUCUCGGAUUGGCUGAAAGCUGAAGUCAGAUGCCUGGACAUUGAGCCCUCCCUUCAAGCCCACAGCGAGAAGGACAAGAAAGACUCCAAGUACAAGUCCAAGGUGAAGGUCACUACGGUAAUGCAUGGGACAGACAGCUCCAAAAAUCCACAGUCAGAUGUAACCUCCAAAGCAGCUCCUCCCAUCCAGACCCGAGGUAAGGCUAAGAUAUACUGUCCUUACUGCAACUCUGAACACUAUCUCAGCCAAUGCGAGAGCUUCGCUAAGCUAACCAAAGGGGAGAUGGUGGACUGGAUCAAAACCAAGAGAAGGUGCUGGAGAUGCGGUCGUUCUCACCUAGCCUCCGUCUGUGACCUGAAGAAGCCGUGUCGACUUUGUAAGUCUAAACACCUCUCCAUUCUGCACGAGGUCAACCAGAGAAGUGAGAACGAGCCCACCAACACAGCGGCCAUCACAUCGACAGCAGAGACUCACUACCUAGAUCAGCCAAAUGGAUAUAGCCGAGUGCUGCUGAAGAUCGUCAGAGUCAACCUGUACUACCAGGACAGAGUGUUCAACACAUAUGCAGUGCUUGACGAUGGUUCGGAGAGAACUAUCCUGCUCUCAUCUGCAGCACGCCGCCUGGGAAUACGGGGUCAAGCAGAAGAUCUGACUCUUCGUACCAUCCGCCAGGAUAUCAAGACACUGCCAGGCUCACGUGUCUCCUUCACCAUCACGUCUGUAACACAGCCCAGAAAGAGGUUCCGCAUCCAAGGUGCUUUCACAGGUGACCACCUAGGCCUGUCUCAGUACACCUACCCGGUUUCCCAGCUCCAGAAGAAGUAUCGUCACCUGACAGGCUUGCCGAUUCCACCCAUUGAUGGAGCUCAACCAACCCUCCUGAUCGGAUCUGAUCAAGCCAGUCUAAUCGUUCCGAUUGAGCCAGUGCACCUGGGCCCCCCUGGUGGCCCUGCAGCAGUCAAGACUAAUCUCGGUUGGACACUCCAGGGUCCAGCUAAGUACCUUCAGCAACAGCUUCCGCCCGCACAGUGCUUGUUCACGGCAAUUUCCUCUCCUUCUGCUGAGCUGUUUCGUCAAGUUGAACGACUGUGGCAGUUGGACACGCUGCCUUUCAAGAGUGAGAGGUUAGUGACCAGAUCCAGACAGGACAAAUACGCAGUGGACCUGUUAGAGACCGAUACCACCCGUGUAGAGGUCGACGGAGUGCAUCGUUAUGCUACUCCCCUCCUGCGAGUCCAAACCAUGCCUAAGCUGCAAGUUCCAAAGGAAGUUGUGAUGAAAAACCUGCGGAACACAGAGAAGAGGUUAGCUCAAGACUCACAGCGUGCAUCUACUUACCAGGAGGAGAUCAAGAAACUAGAGGUCGCUGGGUAUGCCACGAAGAUUGACAACCAUGAAGCUGACACAUCCGAAGAAUCGUGGUUCCUGCCACACCACACAGUCAGACAUAAUGGCAAAGACCGGAUUGUGUUCAACUGCAGCUUCCAGAUAGGCGGACAGAGUCUAAACAACUACCUACUCCCUGGCCCGACCUUAGGACCUUCACUCCUUGGAGUCCUCCUACGCUUCAGGGAACAUCGAGUCGCGAUGAGUGGAGACAUCAAAGGGAUGUUUCAUCAGGUUCGCCUGUUGGACAAAGACAAGCCCUUGCUGAGGUUCCUUUGGAGGGACCUGAAGACCGACAAGCCACCCUCAGUAUACCAGUGGGAAGUCCUGCCAUUCGGAACUACGUGCAGCCCUUGUUGUGCGAUCUUUGCUCUCCAGAAACAUGUCACCGAGUCCAGCCAACCAGGAGAAGAUGUACGUCACAGUGUGGAACAGUGCUUUUACGUCGAUAACUGUCUGCAGAGUCUACCUACUGAAGACGAAGCAAAGAGCCUUGUGACAAAGCUGAGAGCCCUCCUAAUCAGUGGUGGCUUUGAGAUCCGCCAGUGGGCCAGUAACCAGCCAGAAGUGAUCCGCCACUUGCCCAAGGAGGCUAAGUCUGACAGCAGCGAAAGGUUAGUUUCCCAGACCCAUGGGGAAGCUCAAGAGAUGACGCUAGGUCUCAGUUGGCACCCCCAGGAGGACACACUCCACUACAGGCACCGCCCAGUUGCUCCAAGCCAGACGACAAUGCGAAAUAUCUACAAGAUAUUAGCAAGCCAGUAUGACCCCCUAGGUUAUAUCCUGCCCUUCACCACAAGAGCCAAAGUUCUGGUCCAGAGACUGUGGGCCAAUGACCGUGACUGGGACGACCCGCACUUACCCACUGAUCUCCUGCAAGCCUGGAACACAUGGGAAGAAGAGCUCCCUCAGCUCCUAUCAGUCAGCCUCUCCCGGAGCUACUUCCCAUCUGGCAUUGAUAUAAGUGUCAUCACCCUCGAGCUUCACGUAUUUUGUGAUGCAUCAGAGUCCGCCUAUGGGUCAGUCGCAUACCUACGUGGUGAAGAUCCUCAAGGCAAUGUCCAUGUGGCCUUCGUGCUAGCUCGCUCGCGAGUGGCACCAAAGAAACAGCAGUCGAUGCCCCGUUUGGAACUUUGUGCUGCCCUGACUGGAGCUCAGCUCGCCCAGGUGAUCCAGAGAGAGCUCACCCUUCAGUUGAGAGAGACGGUGCUGUGGUCUGACUCCACCACUGUGCUAACCUGGAUACAGUCUGAGUCCUGCAGAUAUAAGGUGUUUGUGGGGACCCGUGUAUCCGAGAUCCAAGAACUGACCGACCACCGGUCAUGGAGGUAUGUGGACACGCAGAAUAAUCCCGCAGAUACCAUCACCAGAGGGAUGACUCUGUCUGACCUCGCCAAGCCGAACCAGUUCAGUCAUGGUCCAGCCUUCCUUCAGCAGCCACAUGACAGCUGGCCAACCCCGCCGUCUUUCGAGGAGGUUCCAGACGAGACAGAGAUGAAGAAGUCUUCGUUCUGUGGCCUCACAUCGACUAUCUCCGCUCCAGAGAUCCCGCCUGUCGAUGAAUAUUCCACCUUCGAAGACCUCCUUGAGGCGACUAGUAGGUCACUGCACGGAGUGGACUCCCAGCCAAGCACCCUCAGUGCUGAUGACUACGCAGAAGCCGAACUCCGAAUCCUACAGAGAGCGCAAAGUGAUAGCUUUCCAGAAGAGAUCAAGUGCCUACAGACAGGGAAAGCUGUUCCAUCCGGCAGUCGGCUCAUAACACUUGCCGCAGAGUACGACAUCUCCAAGGGCCUCGUCCGUGUAGGCGGUAGGUUACGCCGUUCUUCCAGCCUGGAAGACGACGUUGUGCACCCAAUCGUGCUAGAACCGAAACACCCUGUCACCAGGCUCAUCAUACGGCAGUAUGAUGACAAGCUGCUCCAUUCCGGAGCUGAGAGAGUCUUUGCGGAACUCCGACGCAAGUUUUGGAUCCUUCGGGGCCGCGAAGCCGUGCGUCGCCAUCAGAGAUCCUGCCCAGAGUGUCAGAAAUGGAGAGCGAAGCCAAUCAUACCAAAGAUGGCAGAUUUGCCCCCCUGCCGUCUCCGCCUCAUGAAGCCCCCAUUCUAUUCAACGGGAGUGGAUUGCUUCGGACCAUUCCAGAUUAAGCGAGGUCGGGUUACGGAAAAGAGAUGGGGAAUUGUGUUUAAGUGCAUGACAACGAGAUGUGUCCACCUGGAUGUGCUGCAUAGCAUGGACACUGACUCAUUCCUCAUGUCGCUCAGAAGGUUCGUGGCUCGACGAGGAACCCCCUUUGAGCUUCUCUCCGACCAGGGAACCAACUUCCGGGGAGGGGAGUCCGAGCUUCGAGUAAGUUUCCAGGUUAUGAGUGAAGAGUUAAAGACCCAGCUGGCUAAGCGCCAGAUCCGCUUCCAGUUCAACCCUCCAAAUGCGCCACACUUCGGUGGGACUUGGGAGCGGGAAGUCAGGUCCAUCAAGGCCGCACUAUAUGUGACCAUGGGAGCACAGACGGUGACCGAAGAAGUUUUGCGGACGGUCCUCAUUGAGGUAGAGGGAAUUUUAAAUUCCAAGCCGCUAGGUUAUGUUUCGACGGACGUAGCCGACGUGGACCCAGUAACCCCCAACUACCUCCUCAUGGGGCGGCCCGACUCCUCGCUCCCUCAAGUGGUUUAUCCGGAGUCCGAGAUCCUCAGUCGGAGGAGAUGGCGGCACAGUCAAGUACUUGCGGACCAGUUCUGGACCCACUUCCUGCAGCAUUACUUACCCUCCUUGCAGUCAAGGCAGAAAUGGGUGAAAGAGACGAGAAAUCUUACCAUUGGCACAGUGGUGAUGGUGAUCGAUCAGCGGUUACCUCGAGCACUGUGGCCCGUGGGAAGGGUCAAGAAGACUAUCAUGAGCGCAGACGGGAAGGUGAGAACUGCUGAGGUUCAAGUGGACGACAGGACCUACACAAGACCGGUGGCCAAACUCAUUGAGCUACCAGCUAUCCCAGAGGAUACUCCGACAAUGUCCCCAGCGGACACUGAGCCUUCAAGGAGCUGAUUCGCACAGCGAAUCAGGGGGCGGCUGUGCAAAAGGCUCAGAGUAUGGACAGUGAAGACCGAACCUGUUGCUAGGCAACGCCCUUUUGUUUACAGCUCGCGCUUGCCGCGGUUAAAUUUUGUGCAAAGUUAAUCAGUUUAACGGUCAUUUUCUAGCGAGUUAAGUUUCCUUUGUGUGCGUCAAUAAACGGCAAACCACACAUACACACAUGCACACCCACCUGGUUUAAACCUAAGAGGAGAACAGAGAUUGCCUGUGCCUGUGUAUUUGCAUUCCAUUUAUAAUAAACCCCCAAAAGAA